rnacentral:lncRNA from 1 species
GGCAGCUGCAGGCUCUUUCUCAGCCACCUGCUACCUGGUCCCUGAGCCUGGCCCCUCCCGGGCUGGGCCCUUCCGCAGUCUGAAUCUCGGGCCACCUGGAUGGUGGCGAGGAGAGAGCAGACCUGCUCACUCCUGCCAACUUCGAUUCAGUCUCUGUUUCCUGCCUGUGCCCAGUCUGCCGUGGCUGCUCCGAAAACAGGAGCUUCAAGUUGACUUUACUCUCACUGAUGCUCCAGCAAUAGAGAAUAGUCUUCAAAUGCAGCAGGAUAGUUCAAGGUUGGACAUCUGGAAGAACUUCCCUGCCAGGCAAAACAUGGGAAUGGGGAGUAUGUGAUGUCUCUGUUAAAGAUGAACAAAUAACAAUAAUAGCAUUCAAUAUCUAUCAAGAAUAAGUUCUAUGCUCCUAGUAUGUUUUACAUGCUGUUUCAUCUCAUUUAAUCUUCAC